rnacentral:rRNA from 1 species
GAUGAACGCUGGCGGCGUGCCUAAUACAUGCAAGUCGAGCGAACGGACGAGAAGCUUGCUUCUCUGAUGUUAGCGGCGGACGGGUGAGUAACACGUGGAUAACCUACCUAUAAGACUGGGAUAACUUCGGGAAACCGGAGCUAAUACCGGAUAAUAUUUUGAACCGCAUGGUUCAAAAGUGAAAGACGGUCUUGCUUUCACUUAUAGAUAGAUCCGCGCUGCAUUAGCUAGUUGGUAAGGUAACGGCUUACCAAGGCAACGAUGCAUAGCCGACCUGCGAGGGUUGUUGGGCACACUGGAACUGGGGCACGGGCCCGACUCCUAAGGGAGGGAGCAGUAGGGAAUCUUCCGCAAUGGGCGGAAGCCUGACGGAGCAACGCCGCGUGAGUGAUGAAGGUCUUCGGAUCGGAAAACUCUGUUAUUAGGGAAGAACAUAUGUGUAAGUAACUGUGCACAUCUUGACGGUACCUAAUCAGAAAGCCACGGCUAACUACGUG